CUGUUCUUGGCCGAUCCUCUUUCUUCCUUCAUUUUUUUUUCUUUUCAGUGUAGAUUUGGUCUGUUGGAUAGCUCGCAUCUGCUUUGGUCCUAACCUGAGUCCACCCCCGCAGCUGGUGCUUCCACAGGGAGACCAUCGAUGGCGGCUAGUUUUCCUCCUCGUACACCUCCUGUAGGUUGGUAAAUGGCGGCGGAUGGGUAUCAUGGCCCAAGGAUCUGUUGCGGCUGGGAGGAGGUCUGCAUUUUUCUUGGAUCCAGCUUUAGUAUGAGGAUGCUAGUGUUGUUUUCUUCCCCAAGCGUGCAAUCCAGACACACCUUUUGUUUUAGUUUAUAAAAAGUUACAGCGUAUUUAUAUAUUGCACGCAUGCAUUAAAACUUUCUUGGUGGGCAGUAUUUGUUUUCAUGGUCAUUUUAUUUACUAACA